AGUUCAUUUCGCAGAAAAAUAGCAUACGUGUCUCAUCAGUCGGCUUUGAAAAUGACAAUUAUACACCAACUGAAAGCGGCUCGUACAACGACGAAACAAAUAUGGCAAAAAUCACAACGGUAGUGAGAAAAAAAAAUAUUUGAUACCAAUGUUAUUUUUCUCAUUCUACAAUCGUUCUACAAUCUCAAAUAAUCGGUUACGGAAUCAAAGCAUCUGAAAUCAAAAUGACGUCAAUGAUUACGGCAAAAACAUGAAAGCACUGUAGCAAAAGAAACAAAUAAUAGAAUGUUAAUUUUCCAAACCACGAUACCACGAAGAAAUUGGUUAUGUAAAAAUGACGAAAAUACACAUCGGCAACGGAUCAUAUCGGCAGCAACUACUUCACAAUAUCCAAACGUUGGAAAACGAAAUUUGGCAAACGGCGGCACAAAUAAAGGCUAUAGCAGCAAAAUAAACUUAAAAUUACGGAAAUUACGGCAAAAAUCACAGCAAAAGAAAAAAUAUAUAUAAUCAUCUCGAAAAUGGCGAAAUUUAUAACGGCAGUUAUAACGGCAAUUACAGCGACACUGAAAGGUUUUUGUUGCCCUCUCGCAAAAUUAGCCCAUCCUCAUAUUCGUCUGCUAAAUUGCAACACCUCUUCAAAAAGUUUGCCUUCAGAAAAGACAGAACUAAUUGCAAACCUAAGUGCUUGGGAAUGAGUAAAAGAUAGGGCCUACUGCCAAGACUUUUUUUACCAACAUGUAGGCCCCCUACUUGUAUUUCUUUUUUAACAUUCUUCUUCGUCAUUUUGUGUAAGUCCGAUUUGGAAAGAUCGGCAAGGAUACAUGAUUAUGUAUAGUAUUUUUCAAAGUAAGUCCGGUUGCGAAGAUCGGCAGGGAAUUAGAAGUCAUCUUUUGUCUUCCCUCGAUGUAAUGUAGGUCCGAUAGUCAAGCAUCGGCAAGGAAAUUUUGACAUAGUGCUGUUUUUACUCAGUGGCGGGAAAAGCAGAAAACUACGGCAAAACUAACAGCGUUAUGGUAAAGGAAAUACCUGAUCACAGAAUCAAUGAUGUUUAAAAAUAAUUGUUUAAUGCCAUUAAUUUAAAGCCGAAAUCUUUGUGCAGGGAUGGUGAGAAGACCGCACCUCCCAGACACGACCUUUUGAAGGAAAGUUUUGUAAGACAUGCGACACAUUUACUGUCACAUGCAAGGGUAUCAUUUCUCAUAUUAAAUGUUUGUAAUAAGGUAUGCGUAACCCUUCUUCCGCCAUAUGUUUUAUUUAAGUCUGAUUUUGAAGGAUCGGCAAGGAUCAAGAUGGCAUUUUGCCCUCUUUGAGUUCUUGUAAAUUUCUGUGAUGUUUUUGAAAUGUGAGUUUUAAGAUACUGUCAUUUUCUUUCAACGCGCGAGCGAAAUGGUGUAUUAGCGUCUGCACCUUAUACCCAAUCUUGUCUCAUUAAAGGUGAUUGUUAACAUUAAGUUAUUUUUUUUUUGGAUACUUAUAACGACUGGUUAUAGGUAAGCCUAGACAUGGUAGAUGCAAUGGGAAUGGUUUGAGUCACUUGCGGAGCUGGGCUAGGCCCAGUGUUUUUGUUUAUCCCGUUUACAUAGGAAAGAUCUGCAGCUUUCGUCAAAGAAAAAGAGGAUCUAAAAUUCGGGACAGAUUGGAGGAGAAGGGUGCGUCAGGACGACGAUGAACGAACCCCUCCCCAACCUCAUGCAUCACAGGCGGAACCGGAAGCAGGGAGGAGGACCGACAGAUGAACUGAUGACCUGCUUAUUGGGCUUCCCAUUCCUGGUUACCAGAAGACGAGCAAUGAUGGGACUGUCUGGAAGAAGGGACUGCUUGACUUGGGCAAGGAUAAGAGAAUGACCCCCACACAUAUCAGACGAAACCUUAGGGAAGCAGGGAGGACCGACAGAUGGACGGAUGACCCUGCUUGCUUGCUGAGCAUAUCACUUCUGAAUCUCAAGAGGAUGAUGGCUGACUGAUGUAGACGGACGUGCUGGAUGAAGAGGUGGCAUCGUAUGGUUUGGAUAAGAGGAUCACCCAUGCCCAAAUCUUAGAGAAAAACAAGGAACUGCAAGGAAGCAGAAAGUAGGACCGACCGAUGAACUGAUGACACUGCCUGCUAGCCAUUUCUGAUUCCAGAGAUUCCCCAAGCUCUCAUCAGCACUUGAAUGAUGCACAGAUGACUCACCAAGAAACUUCAAAUGAGAAUGUUUUUUGUAGACUGCAAUACAUUUUAAAGUUUUUUAUAGGAAUAAAUACUUAAUGAAAAUUGAAUCCAAAAUCUAUUUUUGUAAAAUACUUGUAGCAGCUUGAUUUUAGAUAAUUGAACAAUAAAACAACUAUCGAUGCUUUAAACUAUAAUCUAUAUCAAAGCCUCCAACAGUAUCUAAAUCCGAUAUAAAAAAAAACUUUACUGGGUAAUUACAGAUGUUGUAAUUAGUCAUAUUACAAGUAAUUUCAUUCAUUGGCCUUCUCAAAGUGGCAUGUCAAUAUGAGAAUGGAGGUUUCUCGUAGUUGCCCUCAAUCACUUGGAUAAGGCUUGAAAUUACACACGAGUCUGUGUAAAGUGGCUGCAGACACUUCCCAUGGACGGUGUGUAGUAUCAAGCCAAAUACUUUCCGAAGUAUUUAAAAUGUAGACCGUCCUUUCCUUGAAAGGUCUUAACUGUAUUUAUAAGGUACCGGUACAUCAAAACUAUACUAUCAUUAAGUUGGCGUGACAGAACAGAGCACUAAUUUAAGCCAUAAGAGGUUUACACACUUUCAAAAAGACAAUUUUAAGUCAUUGGACACCCAAACCUUUUAGUGAUUUUCAUUCCAAUGUUAAUACCAUUUUUUCCUCUGUUGAAUAACUGACGACGCAAGGAAAUGCUUGGCUACGCAAAAUGUUAAAGGGAA